CCUACGGGGGGCUGCAGUAAGGAAUAUUGGUCAAUGGACGAAAGUCUGAACCAGCCAUGCCGCGUGGAGGAUGAAGGUCCUCUGGAUUGUAAACUUCUUUUAUAUGGGACGAAAAAAGGCCUUUCUAGGCCGUCUGUCGGUACCAUAUGAAUAAGCACCGGCUAACUCCGUGCCAGCAGCCGCGGUAAUACGGAGGGUGCCGGAUUUAUCCGGAUUCACUGGGGUUAAGGGGUGCGGAGGUGGGAUUGUAGAAAGCUCCGAGCUUAACUUGGAAACUGCCAUUGAUACUAUUAAUCUUGAAUAUUGUGGAGGUUAGCGGAAUAUGUCAUGUAGCGGUGAAAUGCUUAGAUAUGACAUAGAACACCAAUUGCGAAGGCAGCUGGCUACACAUAUAUUGACACUGAGGCACGAAAGCGUGGGGAUCAAACAGGAUUAGAUACCCUUGUAGUC
rnacentral:rRNA from 1 species